UACGUAGGGUGCGAGCGUUGUCCGGAAUUAUUGGGCGUAAAGAGCUUGUAGGCGGUUUGUCGCGUCUGCCGUGAAAUUUCGAGGCUCAACCUCGAACUUGCGGUGGGUACGGGCAGACUAGAGUGUGGUAGGGGAGACUGGAAUUCCUGGUGUAGCGGUGAAAUGCGCAGAUAUCAGGAGGAACACCGAUGGCGAAGGCAGGUCUCUGGGCCACUACUGACGCUGAGGUGCGAAAGCGUGGGGAGCGAACAGG
rnacentral:rRNA from 1 species